CCUAGGGGAGGCAGCAGUAGGGAAUAUUGGGCAAUGGGCGCAAGCCUGACCCAGCGACGCCGCGUGAGGGAUGAAGGUCUUCGGAUUGUAAACCUCUUUCAGCAGGGACGAAGCGAAAGUGACGGUACCUGCAGAAGAAGCACCGGCUAACUAUGUGCCAGCAGCCGCGGUAAU
rnacentral:rRNA from 1 species